rnacentral:rRNA from 1 species
GACGAACCGAGCGAACGUUAUCCGGAAUCACUGGGCUUAAAGGGCGCGUAGGCGGGCUGCCAAGUCAAGGGUGAAAGCCCCCGGCUCAACCGGGGAAGUGCCUCUGAUACCGGCGGCCUCGAGGGAGGUAGGGGCGUGCGGAACUCUCGGUGGAGCGGUGAAAUGCGUAGAUAUCGGGAGGAACGCCGGUGGCGAAAGCGGCACGCUGGACCUUUGCUGACGCUGAUGCGCGAAAGCCAGGGGAGCAAACGGG